rnacentral:pre_miRNA from 1 species
AGUGGGAUAGCUAGGUUAAAUGGUUGUUCCAUUCCCAGUUUUUCAAGCAAUCUUCGAACUGCUUUCCAUAUUGGCUGCACCAAUUUGCAGUCCCAUCAGCAAU